rnacentral:rRNA from 1 species
CUAAGUUUGAUGGCGACCGGCGCACGGGUGAGUAACACGUAUCCAACCUGCCGAUGACUCGGGGAUAGCCUUUCGAAAGAAAGAUUAAUACCCGAUGGCAUAGUUCUUCCGCAUGGUGGAACUAUUAAAGAAUUUCGGUCAUCGAUGGGGAUGCGUUCCAUUAGGUGGUUGGCGGGGUAACGGCCCACCAAGCCUUCGAUGGAUAGGGGUUCUGAGAGGAAGGUCCCCCACAUUGGAACUGAGACACGGUCCAAACUCCUACGGGAGGCAGCAUG